CUCUGAGAUCCUGACCUGAGUUGGAUGCGCCACCGACUGAGCCACCCAGCUGCCCCUCCCUGAAGACAUUUCUUGAAGUCAAUACCAAUCCCUUUGUAACUCAGACUGACCUGACAUCUUUAAUGUCUUCAGCUACUCUGGUAAAUAGCCCUCAGUGCUCUAAAAUAGAGAAGAAGAAAGAGAAAUCAUGCAAGAAGGAGGUAGGAGGAGCAGAGGAAGAGAGAGAAAAGCUUAAACAAGCUCUAGUCCCAGUGUGGAGCCCAAUGCCAGGCUCAAUCUCAAGACCCUGAGAUCAUGACAUGAGUGGAAAUCAAGAGUCAGGAGCUUAACUGACUGAGCCACCCAGGCACUCCUAGGCCCUCUUUCUUGUAUUAUGGGGCUUAGAAAAGU